UAUUCUACUGUACAUUAAAUAAUUGGUAUCCUGUUCAAUUGGCCUGGAUUGUACCGAUAUGACUUUGCUGCCAGUAUCCUAAUUGCUUCACAAAAUAUUAGUAUGGCGAAUAUUUUCUAGUUUAGUUAGCUUACCUAUUUGGUAGCCCGUUUCCAUCAACAAUUAUUUGCUUGAGGCUAGUUUUGGUUUUUGCGUGUGGAAACAUAAAUUAAUAUAGCUUAUUUCCUUGUUAAAUUUGAUAGGUUGGUUGGCCUCGGAGGCCACUGACAAAGCUAGCUGCUGCUCUUAGGAAUAGUUACAUGGUGGCUACUUUGCAUUCCAUAAAGAAAUCAACUGGAGAAGUUUCUUUUAAACUAAGUGACGGACGUCUUAGUGUACUUGCGGAAGUUGCUUGGCAGUGGGGAAUGACCAAAAGAAGCUGAUAGGCAUGGCCCGAGCUACAUCAGACCAUGCUUUCAAUGCAACAAUUUGGGAUGUUCUUGUUGAUCCUUCCUAUCAGGGCCAAGGGCUAGGAAAGGCCCUCAUUGAGAAGCUUAUAAGAGCACUCUUGCAACGGGACAUUGG